rnacentral:rRNA from 1 species
GUGCCAGCAGCCGCGGUAAUUCCAGCUCCAAUAGCGUAUAUUAAAGUUGUUGUGGUUAAAAAGCUCGUAGUUGGAUCUCAACAGCCUUGAAGCGGUUAACUUUGUAGUUUUACUUGCUUUAUAGGCUGUGCUUUUGCUGGAGGUUUAGGGGUGCUCUUGAUCGAGUGUCUCUGGAUGCCAGCAGGUUUACUUUGAAAAAAUUAGAGUGCUCAAAGCAGGCUAAAAUGCCUGAAUAUUCGUGCAUGGAAUAAUAGAAUAGGAUGUCGAUCCUAUUUUGUUGGUUUUCGGGACUCGACAUAAUGAUAAAUAGGGACAGUCGGGGGCAUUUGUAUUCAAACGACAGAGGUGAAAUUCUUGGACCGUUUGAAGACAAACUACUGCGAAAGCAUUUGCCAAGAAUGUUUUCAUUAAUCAAGAACGAAAGUUAGAGGUUCGAAGGCGAUUAGAUACCGCCCUAGUUCUAACCAUAAACGAUGCCAGCUAGCGAUCUGCCUGCGUUUUUACUGUAGACUGGGCAGGAAGCUUCCGGGAAACCAAAGCAUUUGGGUUCCAGGGGAAGUAUGGUUGCAAAGCUGAAACUUAAAGGAAUUGACGGAAGGGCACCACCAGGAGUGGAGCCUGUGGCUCAAUUUGACUCAACACGGGAAAUCUCACCAGGCCCGGACACUGGAAGGAUUGACAGAUUGAUAGCUCUUUCUUGAUUCGGUGGGUGGUGGUGCAUGGCCGUUCUUAGUUGGUGGAGUGAUUUGUCUGGUUAAUUCCGAUAACGAACGAGACUCUGUCCUGCUAAAUAGUUUCUACUUCUCUUUUGAGUAGAAAUUUCUUCUUAGAGGGACUGGUGACUCUUAGUCACACGAGAUUGAGCAAUAACAGGUCUGUGAUGCCC